rnacentral:misc_RNA from 1 species
AAUGUCGUAACAAGGUUUCCGUAGGUCAAGUUUGAGCCCUGCCCAACAGCGGGUUCAAGCCUCGCUAGUCUCCGCUGGAGGCGACACGCUCAACCUGUGGGAAUGGCCCGUCCCGGGAAAACUCCACAGCCCAACUUCCCUUCGCCCGGAAGUCGGUUUCAGAGGCUCAAUGAGCGUGGGCUGCUGAUCUCAGCGCUUGAGAUAGAGUCCGUCCCAAGCUGGUAACGCUGGGGGCCGAACGGAACCCUUGCGGAAGGAUCAUUACAGAAUUUGACGGCUUUGCGAAGCCAGAUUCUCACCCCCUGUGUAUACACUAUCUCUGUUGCUUUGGGCGGGCGCCUGGCGCCUGCCAGAGGGAAAGCCCUUGAAUCUCUGCAGUCUGAGCACGAUAAAUUAGUCAAAU